AAAUAAGAAACAAAAUCUUGUAUUUAGUUUCGACCUAAAAUUAUGGUAUAAAAUACCCUUAUUUU
rnacentral:tRNA from 1 species